GCCUGGGUGGCUCAGUCGGUUCAGCUUCCGACUUCAGCUCAGGUCACGAUCUCGCGGUCCGUGGGUUCGAGCCCCACAUCGGGCU
rnacentral:tRNA from 1 species